AUUGAACGCUGGCGGCAGGCCUAACACAUGCAAGUCGAACGGUAGCACAGAGAGCUUGCUCUCGGGUGACGAGUGGCGGACGGGUGAGUAACGUCUGGGAAACUGCCCGAUGGAGGGGGAUAACUACUGGAAACGGUAGCUAAUACCGCAUAACGUCGCAAGACCAAAGUGGGGGACCUUCGGGCCUCACACCAUCGGAUGUGCCCAGAUGGGAUUAGCUAGUAGGUGGGGUAAUGGCUCACCUAGGCGACGAUCCCUAGCUGGUCUGUGAGGAUGACCAGCCACCCAGGAACUGAGACACGGGCCAGACUCCUACGGGAGGCAGCAGUGGGGAAUAUUGCACAAUGGGCGCAAGCCUGAUGCAGCCAUGCCGCGUGUAUGAAGAAGGCCUUCGGGUUGUAAAGUACUUUCAGCGGGGAGGAAGGCGGUGGAGUUAAUAACUUCACCGAUUGACGUUACCCGCAGAAGAAGCACCGGCUAACUCCGUGCCAGCAGCCGCCGUAA
rnacentral:rRNA from 1 species